rnacentral:lncRNA from 1 species
UUGACCAUAAUGUACACCAUAAGGAAGACAGAUUGGAAAGAAGUAUGUCUGGAGGCAGGAAGACCAGAUGUAGUGUCCAGGAGUUCUUACUUGCCUGAAGUUAACCUGGGAGCACCCUGGAGGCUCUAAGCUGAAGAUGCUGACUCCCCAAGAUUGCAAUGCUGCUAUUUCUGAUCACCAGAGACAUCAAAAUGUUCACUCUGUCUCCCUUGUCCACCAAAUCACCCUCUGUUUGCUCCUGCUGCUGCUGUUUCUGCCCAAAACCCGGGACACCAACUUUUGGAUGAAGAAUGCCAAUACCAAGAGUCACAGCACCAUCCCAUUCACUCUAGGCUGGUUCACCCUUGUGAUGAAGACCACCAUCCCAUGGCUAUUGGCAUCUUUAUUCUCCACUUCCACACCAAUCAUAGACAGAACACCUUUCUAUUUUUCGUCAGUGAGGGAGGCUCAGUGUCAAAGACAUUCAUUAUCCCUAUAAGCAACAUGCUUUGAGUAUAUAUACACACAAACACAUACAUACCUAUAUUUAUACACACACACACACACACACCUAUUUAUCUGCACUUUUAUCACCAAUCUUAUCUUUCUCAUGCAAUCAGGUCAUUUUCUGCAGAUUUGGUAAGCACCAGGAGAUUCAGACAUCAUAACUCUCUCUCUCUCUCUCUCUCUCUCUCUCUCUUUCUCUCUCUCUCAUUCUCUCCCUACUCCUCCCCGGCGGCCACCUCACUGCUUGGCUACCCUGUUUCCUGGGACAUGGAGUCCUCAUUUAUACUCAUUGAAAUGUGUUGAUGAGAAUUUUGCAGAAAAAAAUAAGAAAGCAAGAAGAAGAAAGAGAAGAAAAAGAAUCACAUGAAUGAAAUUUGGGUUCUAAUUAAUAAGUAAGACAGAGCAAAGUCUAACAAACCCAAAGUUGUAUUUUUUAUGCUAUGAGCACAUUGUUUAUUUACUAAAGAUGCUCCUCACUCCUUCCUAAUUCCUGUGAGACCAUGGAACA